rnacentral:rRNA from 2 species
UUGACCUCGGAUCAGGUAGGAAUACCCGCUGAACUUAAGCAUAUCAAUAAGCGGAGGAAAAGAAACCAACAGGGAUUGCCCUAGUAACGGCGAGUGAAGCGGCAACAGCUCAAAUUUGAAAUCUGGUCCUUUCAGGGCCCGAGUUGUAAUUUGCAGAGGAUGCUUCGGGUACGGGUACCUACCGAGUUCCCUGGAACGGGACGCCAUAGAGGGUGAGAGCCCCGUCUGGUAGGACACCCAGCCCAUGUGAAGCUCCCUCGACGAGUCGAGUAGUUUGGGAAUGCUGCUCUAACGGGAGGUAUACUCCUUCCAAGGCUAAAUACCGGCUGGAGACCGAUAGCGCACAAGUAGAGUGAUCGAAAGAUGAAAAGCACUUUGAAAAGAGAGUCAAAUAGCACGUGAAAUUGUUGAAAGGGAAGCGCUCGCUACCAGACUUGAGUUAGGCGGUUCAACCGGGGCCACGCCCCGGGGCACUCCACCUGCUCAGGCCAGCAUCAGCUUUCCGUCGGGGGCAAAGGCGUCGGGAAUGUGGCUCACCUCCGGGAGAGUGUUAUAGCCCGGCGUGUCAUACCCGAUGGGGGGCUGAGGU